rnacentral:rRNA from 1 species
GAUGAACGCUGGCGGCGUGCCUAAUACAUGCAAGUCGAGCGAACGGACGAGAAGCUUGCUUCUCUGAUGUUAGCGGCGGACGGGUGAGUAACACGUGUAUAACCUACCUAUAAGACUGGGAUAACUUCGGGAAACCGUAUCUAAUACCGGAUAAUAUUUUGAACCGCAUGGUUCAAAAGUGAAAGACGGUCUUGCUGUCACUUAUAGAUGGAUCCGCGCUGCAUUAGCUAGUUGGUAAGGUAACGGCUUACCAAGGCAACGAUGCAUGGCCGACCUGAGAGGGGGAUCGGCCACACUGGAGCUGAGCCACGGUCCAGACUCCUACGGGAGGCAGCAGUAGGGAAUCUUCCGCAGUGGGCGAAAGCAUGACGGAGCGACGCCGCGUGAGUGAUGAAGGUCUUCGGAUCGUAAAACUCUGUUAUGAGGGAAGAACAUAUGUGUAAGUAACUGUGCACAUCUUGACGGUACCUAAUCAGAAAGCCACGGCUAACUACGUG